UCCAAUCCUCGGUGCCAGCCGGUGUCAUCUAUUGUCAGCCACAGAGGGCAAGAUGAAGCUUUGCUUGCUUUUGUUUAUCUUCGUGUUGGUUCACGGGGAGCUGGCCGGAUCGCCCGGCGAUGGCGCGCUGUCCCCCGAGGCCGACGGGACGGGUGUGCAGAUGGCGAGGAGCCUCCGGACCUCGAAGAAAAAAGGGGACUGAGGAG